AACGAACGCUGGCGGCAUGCCUAACACAUGCAAGUCGAACGAGACCUUCGGGUCUAGUGGCGCACGGGUGCGUAACGCGUGGGAACCUGCCCUUAGGUUCGGAAUAACUCCCCGAAAGGGGUGCUAAUACCGGAUAAUGUCUUCGGACCAAAGAUUUAUCGCCUUUGGAUGGGCCCGCGUUGGAUUAGCUAGUUGGUAGGGUAAAAGUCUACCACGGCGACGAUCCAUAGCUGGUCUGAGAGGAUGAUCAGCCACACUGGGACUGAGACACGGCCCAGACUCCUACGGGAGGCAGCAGUGGGGAAUAUUGGAAAAUGGGCGAAAGCCUGAUCCAGCAAUGCCGCGUGAGUGAUGAAGGCCUUAGGGUUGUAAAGCUCUUUUACCCGGGAUGAUAAUGACAGUACCGGGAGAAUAAGCUCCGGCUAACUCCGUG
rnacentral:rRNA from 1 species